CCCGUGGUGUGCGAUCUCCUUGAAGUUGUUCCAAGGAAAAGGGACCUUUUGUCGCAGAGACAGCUCAUUUUAGAGGCCCUUGGAUUGGAGCUGGCUUGGGAAGCAGGAAACUGUCUACUGUCCACGAUCAUUCUGAAGCACCUAAUCCCUUAACUGGAAACUGGUUCCUUUCUAAUGAGACUUUUCAGAGGAAAGACACAAAAAAUUUCAAAAGCCAUUCCAAUUUCCAAAGAAAUUUUAUAGAAACCUAGAAUUGUAUAGCUGGGAAGCAUCUCAGAGUCCCCUGAUUGAACCCAGCUAAACUGGCGUGUGGACGGCAGUUCAUGACCCCAUCCCCAGGGGAGGUCACCCCGCGUUGGAACAGCAGGACAUUCUACAGAGCAGCAGCUUGGUGGCAGACGGAGUUGUUCCCAAAUCAUCAUUCUAUUACUUGCCAGCUAUGUGACCUUAGAAAACAAUUCGACUUCCCUAAGCCUUGGUUUUCUUACUCUAUAAUGGGGAGAAGAGGAUCUAACCUUUGGUCAAGUUGUUAAAAGGAAUAACCAAUGUACAGUGAUUCCUAGUAAUUUCCAUUCAGUAAUAAUUUUAAGCUUUUUCAUGAUAUCAACUAUUAUACCAGAUAACUUGGGCAGAUCUAGGUCCAGUCUGAAGAGGCUGGGGACAGAGGAGAAGAAAGGGUAUUGGAUUAAGUCCCUGCACUCCAGACCCUUAUAUCCAACUAUCUACUCGACAUCACCUCUCAGGGAAGGCAGUGACACUGCCAAGGGACGAGCGCUCGGGGCCUCGGACGAAGUGGGUGUCUGUGUUACGGGUCUUGGUGUGGGGCUGCCCUCCGGCACCCAGCUGCCAGCUGCUCUCUUCCAGUUGUCACCUGAUGCCUCUGGCUGCACAGCUUCUGAUCCCCGUGUUCUUGUCUGUGACUGA
rnacentral:lncRNA from 1 species